CAUUCCUUUUAUUCUGUGGGCGAAUGAAUUAGAGGAGGAUUAUUUUUCCAUAACAGUUGGUGUCAGAAGUGGGAUAGCUGAAGAUCCGCCAUGUGACACUCGAAGGCGUCGGACAGGUU